UAAACCGUGGCUCAGUUCAGAUCGUAGGCUGCAACUCGCCUACGUGAAGGAGGAAUCGCUAGUAAUCGCAGGUCAGCAUACUGCGGUGAAUACGUUCCCGGGCCUUGUACACACCGCCCGUCACACCAUGGAAGUUGGCCACGCCCGAAGCCGCUACUCCAACCCUUGUGGAGGAGGACGUCGAAGGUGGGGCUGAUGACUGGGGUGAAGUCGUAACAAGGUAGCCGUACCGGAAGGUGCGGCUGGAUCACCUCCUAACA
rnacentral:rRNA from 1 species